CUCAAGAAGUACGACUUCGACAACACCAUGGGAGGCUUCUACAUCGCUCCUGCUUUCAUGGACAAGCUUGUUGUCCAUCUCUCCAAGAACUUCAUGACCCUGCCCAACAUCAAGGUACGUACGACAUGCAUCAUCACCUACUAUUUAAUUUAACUGAUUAGCAGCAAGAAAAUCAUUCCGAUUCUGAAACUGACCUUGAAUCGAAAUUCAGAUCCCACUCAUCUUGGGUAUCUGGGGAGGCAAGGGUCAAGGAAAAUCCUUCCAGUGUGAGCUUGUCUUCGCCAAGAUGGGCAUCAAGUA
rnacentral:lncRNA from 1 species